rnacentral:rRNA from 1 species
GACGAACGCUGGCGGCGUGCUUAACACAUGCAAGUCGAACGGAAAGGCCCUGCUUUUGUGGGGUGCUCGAGUGGCGAACGGGUGAGUAACACGUGAGUAACCUGCCCUUGACUUUGGGAUAACUUCAGGAAACUUGGGCUAAUACCGGAUAGGAGCUCCUGCUGCAUGGUGGGGGUUGGAAAGUUUCGGCGGUUGGGGAUGGACUCGCGGCUUAUCAGCUUGUUGGUGGGGUAGUGGCUUACCAAGGCUUUGACGGGUAGCCGGCCUGAGAGGGUGACCGGCCAAAUUGGGACUGAGAUACGGCCCAGACUCCUACGGGAGGCAGCAGUGGGGAAUAUUGCACAAUGGGCGGAAGCCUGAUGCAGCAACGCCGCGUGCGGGAUGACGGCCUUCGGGUUGUAAACCGCUUUCGCCUGUGACGAAGCGUGAGUGACGGUAAUGGGUAAAGAAGCACCGGCUAACUACGUG